UGGGGGAUAUUGCACAAUGGGCGCAAGCCUGAUGCAGCGACGCCGCGUGGGGGAUGAAGGCCUUCGGGUUGUAAACUUCUUUUGCUCUGAACAAGGCGCACUUUGGGGUGUGUUGAGUGUAGGGGUUGAUUAGCGCCGGCUAACUACGUGCCAGCAGCCGCGGUAAUACGUAGGGCGCGAGCGUUGUCCGGAAUUAUUUGGCGUAAAGGGCUUGUAGGUGGCUGGUUGCGUCUGUCGUGAAAGCUCAUGGCUUAACUGUGGGUUUGCGGUGGGUACGGGCUGGCUUGAGUGCAGUAGGGGAGGCUGGAAUUCCUGGUGUAGCGGUGGAAUGCGCAGAUAUCAGGAGGAAUACCGGUGGCGAAGGCGGGUCUCUGGGCUGUUACUGACACUGAGGAGCGAAAGCAUGGGGAGCGAACAGG
rnacentral:rRNA from 1 species